GCGCAGCAGUCGCGAAUACUUUACAAUGUGCGAAAGCACGAUAAGGGAACUCUGAGUGCCUCCUAAGGAGGCUGUUCAGGUGUCUAAAAGCACCUGAAGGAAGGGCUGGGUAAGACCGGUGCCAGCCGCCGCGGUAACACCGGCAGCCCAAGUGGUAGCCACGUUUAUUGGGUCUAAAGCGUCCGUAGCCGGCUGGGUAAGUUCCUUGGGAAAUUUGGCUGCUUAACAGUCAAGCUUUCAGGGAAUACUGCCCGGCUUGGGGACCGGGAGAGGUCAGAGGUACUCCAGGGGUAGGGGUGAAAUCCAUUAAUCCUUGGGGGACCACCGGUAGCGAAGGCGUCUGACCAGACCGGGUCCGACGGUGAGGGACGAAGGCUAGGGGCGCGAACCGGAUUAGAUACCC
rnacentral:rRNA from 1 species